UUACGGUCAAAUCACGCUGAAAACACCGGUUCUCGUUCGAUCACCGAAGUUAAGCAUCGUAGAGCCAGGUCAGUUCUUCCGUUUUAGGGUUAGAUGGGGGACCGAGCGGAAAUUGGGAACACCUGGUACUGUA